CGAUCUCGUUGACCAUGGACCGGACCAGCAUCAUGGAGGCGGCGACGGAAGCAUAGGCGGAGAACAGCGUGGACGCCGUGGAGGGCAUGUCUUUUAGAGAAAACAUUGUGGAUUUGUGAAAACACGUCUUCAGACGGUUCUCCUCCCUGAGCCAGACAAAGAAUUGAGGAAUCAGUUACUGACCGAUUGCAUCGUAUGCAAUCACGACAGGUCCUAUUUGAGCGGAAUUUCUCCGAGCAUAUCUGAGCCAGUUCUGCUUCCUAUUGCUCAGAUGCUCCUGGAGAACCACUGGGAGUACCUUUACAAUUGUGCCUGCCAGGCCUUUCCCAGACUAGUGCGGAAAUUUUAUGGCCAUAUGAUUGUCACUCAGGAUGAUAGUCAUGGACUGAUUAUGCAGACUAUGGUCAGAGGCCAGACUAUUCUGAUAGGCCCCCAGCUUAUUAGUUCAGUGAUCGGGGUCCCUGUUUUGCCAGUCUCUGGAGUUCCAUUUCCUGAUGAGGCUCCCAGCAUUGAUUUUCUUCAUGACUUCUUUGGGAUGAGACCACAGCGUGAGGACAAGUCCCACUCCCAGAUCAACAUCGGUGCCUUCGCUCCUAUGCACCAAUUUUUAGCAAAAAUUGUGGUGACAAACAUCUGGCCUCAAGCUCGGUGGAGUAAGCUUACUCUCAAGAAGGCCACCCUUCUAUAUGUCAUUGUGAUGCGGACUCCAUUUUGCCUAUGCAAGCAUAUCUUGCAUACUAUGCUCGAGGUUCGCGAUAAGAAGAACAUGAGUCUGUCAUUUGGGUGUCUGGUCUUCAAAUCUGUCUGAUCACUCAAAUCUGCCUCGCUCAUGGAUUCCAGAUCCCCUUGGCAUACAGACUCUCAUGAAGUCUAAUACCCAGUUACGGCACGAGGCUCAAGGCACUGUUCCUCAGCCUCCACCAGAUUUCCCCACAGCAGCCACAUCAUCAUCAUCUCAGGUUGUGCCUCCCUCGUUUGACAUUGAGGCUGCUUUUGCACAGCUCAUGACUUCCAUGUCUGCUCUUCAGUGGGAAGUCAAUCUUAUCGGGGAGCGUGUCGAGCAGAGCCAGAUCGACAUCAAAGAAUGCCUGAAAUAUCAUCAUCCCACGAUGAAUGAUGAUGAUGAUUGAGUAUUUAUUUUUUGUCAUAAUUUCAUAACAAUUUUAUAUUUUUGUUGACACUUUGUGUACUGUUUAAACUCUUAUGGUUUUAAUACUCUGUUUACCCUUUGUCAUUGUGUGACAAAAAGGGAGAGUAUUUUUUUAUUGUUGUUUUUGGUGUUUCAGACCGGAAAUGUAUUUUCAAACCGGUCAAGUGUUUUUGUCCCGGAAUGGCCAAAGGGGGAGUUUGUUAGUAUUUUGGUUGCGUUUUAACAGGACAGUCAGUUGUUCAAUCUUCAUGUAUUUGGACAACGGUUUUUAAAUCAGAAUCUUCAUAUAUUCAGACAUCUAUUGUUCACAAGCUUCUAGAAGUUAUCCAUGAAGAGUCCUUUGCAAAAACCAAGACAAUCAGCAGGUUCUUGUGCAACCGUCUGGACGGGCCUUUGAAGGCGUCCGGACGCCCCGCAGUGUCUUACAGAUAAACAUUGAAGACGUCCGGACGUCAGAGCAACACCAUCUGGACGCUCAGUCAAUCAGAAGUCGACACUGUUUGGGAAGUAUCUGCAAUCCGUCCGGAUGACUCUGCAUCACGUCUGGACGAUGUCUUGUAUUUACAGACAGUCCGGACAACUCAGAAAUACGUCCGGACAAUAUUUAGUAGUUCAAAUACCUCUAGAAUUCCAUCUGUACGGGGAAAGGUUUUAGUGAAGAUCGUCCGGACGCUCGGCCAAGCCGUCCGGACGCAAACCUGAUAAGGAUAGAAUUGCGCUGUUUCUGAAUGAUAUCACAUAAAUCCGUCCGGACGUGGCAAACUUCUGUCUGGACGCUCAACAGACAGAGUCCCAAUUUUCAGCAGUUUUUGAGGUCUCUAAAGCCCUAUAAAUAUGGGGCUCUAGGUCUAUGGUUUUGUACAGAAUUUGGUGGUGAAUUCCAUAGUGCUUUGAGAGGGUGUUUAGGGAGAAUCGAAGUUCCGCUAACUCUCAAGCCGGUGCCAGUGUGUGCUCAAGUGUUCGUGUGAAGUCUAUCUUAGGGGUUGGCCCUAAGUUAAAGGAAUCCAUCAAAAACCCCUUUAGGUAGAAGAUCUGGUUGGGAAGCGUUCGUAUUGGGCUACACGUCAGAGUUAAAGGUAUGACCCCUGUAUAGGGUUAUGUGAGUACGAGUGUCUUGUAACUAGCUUUGUUUUUAGAUAGUAGAUUUCCUGGGUUUGGCUGCCCCGG